rnacentral:rRNA from 1 species
AUUAAUAAUUAAUAUAUUUAAUAAAAAUAAUUUUAAUUUAAUAAGUAUUUUAAUGGGGGUUAAAGUAUUUUUUAAAGAAAAAAUUUUUAAAUUUAUAGUUAAUUAGUAUUGUGAAAGAAUUUUGAAAUAUUAUGAAAAAUAAAAUUUUUAGAAAGUAAUUUUUAUUUAUUGUAUCUUGUGUAUCAGAGUUUAUUAAAAAUUUUUAAUUUAUGAAUUAAUUUCUCGAAUUUAAAAGAGUUAAAUAAUUAUUAAAGUUAUUGUAGCAAAAUUAUUUUAAAUAAUUAUUUAGAAAUGAAAUGUUAAUCGUUUUUAAAUAUAUCUAGUUUUUAUAGAAAAAAAUUUAAUUUUAAAUUUAAAAAUUAUUUAAUUAAUUUAUUAAUUAAAUAGUUACUUAAAUUUUAUAAUUUAAGGGAUAAGCUUUAAAUUAAAUUUUUAUAAUAUUAAAUUUUUAUUUUGAAAAUUUUAUAAUUUAUAUUGUUAAUAAAUUUUAUUUUGUUAUAAAUAAUUUCAUUUUUUUUAAAAUUUAAAUUUUAUUUAAUUUUUUAUAUAAAAUUUAUUUAUAAUUAUAUAAAGUUAAUUAUAAUGAUAAAAUUAGUAUAUUAUUUAAUAUUAAAUUAAAAUUAAUUUUUGAUUAAUAAUUAAAUUAAUUAAAAGGAAUUCGGCAAAUAUUUAUUUUCACUUGUUUAUCAAAAACAUGUCUUUUUGUUAUUUAAUUUAAAGUCUAAUCUGCCCACUGAUUUAUAAAAAUUGAAGGGCUGCAGUAUAUUGACUGUACAAAGGUAGCAUAAUCAUUAGUCUCUUAAUUGGUGACUUGUAUGAAAGAUUGGAUGAAAAAUAUACUGUCUCUUAAUUAAUAUAUAGAAUUUAAUUUUUUAUUUAAAAAGUUAAAAUAACUUAAAAAGACGAGAAGACCCUAUAGAGUUUAAUAAAUUAUUUUAUGAAAGUUUUAUUUAUAUUUAUUAAUAAUUUUAUAAAUUUAUUUAUUUAGUUGGGGUGAUAAAAAAAUAAAUUUAACUUUUUUUAAGU